GGCAGCUGGUUGCAAGUAGACUGGUCUCCGCCGCGAUGGCAACUUCUCUGAGUGCAUAGUGGCCAACUUCAGAUUUUCAUCAAGAAAGCCAGAAGGCUUCAGAGAAAGGCCCAGAGUGGAAGGUCUUGGGGCAGCAGACAUGCAACACACCAGGAGUGCAGAGAUGAUUUCUCCUGCUGGCUACCAUACCCACAAGAGAGAUGCAAC